GGAUGGUAAGAACCAGAAUGCAUUGGGAUGGGAAUUUAAGAGCCGUACGGUCACUCUGUGACUCUGUGUAGCGCAGACACAAGCAGAUGGGGCCAACAUAUUUAAGAGGUCACAUCAUCACAGGGUCUUCUGAAUGAGGAAAAUCAAAGACAGCAGUCCACAACCAGCAGAAAAAUGAUUAGAACUCCUCUGAAUGAGUGCAAACAACACACAUUUAAGACCACACGACCUGGUGUCAGUACAGUGCAACAGAGAGAAGAGCCAGGAUGGGAUUUAUGCAUUCAUCAAGAUGUUUAAAAUGUUCUGAAGGGAUUGUGACCACUCCUCAAUGAUCACCGGAAAGAAAUCUGCAGCAAAGUCUGUUCUCCAGAAUGAGUCUUGCCUUUAAGACAUCAGGAAUUUGCACCAUCAGUAAUUUGCAGCUUCCAACCAAACAAGUCUGUCAAAUCUACAGCCAUGCCCAUCUUUACUGAGACUGACUAACAAUAGGCAGAUCCUGCUACGUUUAUGGUGACUGUACUAGGAACAAAGAAAUCAUCAACCACGGCAGUUACCACUGAACCACUGCCCUGAAGUCAGCUCAGAACAAAAAAGAGUAAACUCCAUUUUUGAGAAAAAAACACUCAAAAUGACAAAAAGGUCUUGAGUUUUUAGAAAAUCUGUUUUUUAGGGAUAUUAUUGUUUUAGUUUCCAGCCCUAAUUGUAUUUAUAUCAGGCUACACUUUAAGAUCAUUUGGAGUACUGGAUCAGUGAGCCAGUGGUUGUUAACAUAUCUUGGGCUUGUAUUUUGUGGUUAUAUCACAUAAGGCUGUCACACACUGACCACUUAACUUCUGAGCCUAGAACUCAUGGGAAGAACUUUACUUGCAAUGAGAUUGUACAAACCUGAACUGUUAACUGCCAGGAAUUUGGAGCAGUGGAGCUUAGCCCAAGUUCUCAGCCUCUGGUUAGUUUCAAAAGCAAGUCUAACGUUACCUGUGAGACAAAGAACUUCCUGACACCUGUCCCUCCCUUUCGACAGCUGAGGUCGAGAGCCUGCACUUACGAUUGCAGCUAUAGUCUAGUUGCCAUAGCAACAGUCCUCUAGGGCCCAUUAACGAUUGUUCUCUGAGAAGGCCGGGGAGCUGUCAAACUGUCAUAUGCUUCUUUUUUAAUCUUUUUCUUUUCUUCUUUUUUAAAGAAUAUUUUUGACAGCUAAUGCUGUCAACCUGGUGAGAAAACGCAUGAGUCUGUGAUGGAAUUUGUCAGCUGGUUCCUUUGGCUAGCUGCAGGAUGUCUCAUUUACCUGUUCUCCAGCUGGGUAACUUGUCGAUAAGAUGCAGUUUUAUCUGCAUUUCCUUUUGCUCUUCCUGCUGUAGCGAACCACAACUAGGAAUACAAUUUAAAAUGCAGUUCAUUUUAUACAGUUUCUGUGUCUACUAUUCUGUCUCAACCUCACUGAAACAGACCCCAAAUACCAACUGUAACAGAGUCCCCAAAUUCUCCUAAUCUAUGUCCCGCUGUAGUACACCUUGCUGUACUACAGCGGGACAUAGCGGGACAUACUCUCCUAAAUUCAGUACCCCUCUAUAUCUGACUAUAAGCGUCGUCUAACUGAAAUGAAGUCACUGAGAGUUGUUGUAAUUGAAAAAAAGGGGUCUGAAAAGCUGAAGGCUAAAGAAUGUGAUCCAGCAUGUAUGAGACAGAAAUGAGGCUCAGCUAUUGUGAAUGAUGGACCUGUAGCCUCUAUUGUUGUAGUGGUGUUCAGUACUUGUCACCUUGUUAACUCCCUGUGAAAAGUUAACCUUGGAACUGUGUGGUGGAUUGCCCUAAUGCCCUGUCUCUGCCUGCGUGUCGAUGACGUGAUUAUUAUCCUGUACUACAGAGUGGUGUUCAAAGGAGCCUUAGGUUUUCUGUCAGCAGCAAGUGACUGACAGACAGUUCCAUGGUUCAAAGCUUAAUUUGGUGCAUGACUAAAGCUGGAUUGUAAAUGUUUCCAAAUUGCACCGCAUUAUAUUGCAUCCAUUAAUAGCAACCCCAUAAUUGCACAAAGUAUGUUUACUUAAGAAAUGCAAAGUGUUAAUUCUAGUACAGCUAUUACUGAGAGUUAUUGAAAUAGUUCUCCCCUUGUGGGACGCUUUUGAAAAUGGGAUGUACUGCACUUGGGCCUGUCUUGUUAAUGGCAAACAAAUGCAGUAUUUAAUGAGCAAUUGUGCUAGAAUAAAUAGUAAACUUUCACUACAAUCAAGUGGGACAUUACAUUUUCUGAUGCCUCAAGUGAAGAGUGAACCAGUUUAAACAUGGGAAUAGGUUUGUUUGUUGUACUCAACUAAAGCUGCACAAUCUUUUAAAGUAUUUAUGAGUUGGAUAUUUGAACAUCCUUAAUGGCGAAGAAAGAAAGAAAGAAACAGUAAAUGCAUUUAUGGCAUACUUAUGUGGAUUAGUAAUUAUAAGUUACAGCAUUUCUUGAGGCAGGCAGAAUUUCCAUAAAUGUCUAUUAAUGAUCAUGUAUUUAAUCUACCAUAAAUGUGUAAUGUUAAAUACACCAUAGUUACCACUAUAAUCGGAGGCUUCCCAUUGCCAUUCAUUUAUUCAGAUGUUACUCUUUGAAAGCCUGUUCCAAAGGAAGUUAUACUGUAUACAUUGGCAGCAUUUUUUUAAAAUGGUACUGAAUAGCCUGAUGUCUACUCCCACUGCGCCACAAUGGCUGUUACAGUGUUGGUUUUGUAGUAUCAUGUUUUUUUGAACGAUAAACACAUGCAAGACUCUUACAUGUUAGUGUCAGGGGGUCAAAGGGAAGCCAGACAAGGUAAAAGUCAAUGAGAUACACAGAUACACAUUCCUGUUGGAGAACAGUGUGCACCAAAUAGUUUAACCCUUUCACUCCAGCCCUGCGAUUCUACACAAGAAAGGCACCCUAUCAAUGCCAUUACCAUAAGAUCAACAGAACAUGCAGGAUAACAAAUCCUUGUGUACAACCAUUGCUUUUACAGUAGUGCUCCAUCACUAUCCGAUUCAGAGCUAUUUGUAGGAGCCAUUCCCCUUUCUAUGAGGGACUCCCUAAGCACCCUAUUAUGUGAAUGCACCAGGAGAUAACAACCUGCAUUGUAGAGAGGAUUAUCACUUUACUCUUUAUCUGCAUAUUGUAAUUCUCUCAGCAAAGAAAAGCAAGAUCACUUGUCAUCUGUAGAAUCAAGAAUUCUCCUAUAGAAUGGGAAUGGAAGAUAGGGGCUGCAAUUCUGAGAUCAGCUACAAAAUAUCUGAGUGUGAAAAGUUUUGUAAUCGUUCUCCUUCUGAACAAUAAGCUUCAGGUCUUGCUUAGGGGUCAUCUGGGGCUAUCAGUGGUGUCAUCUUCCAUAUUAUAUGCUAAACGGAGGUCAUAGGCAUUUCAAAUCCCAUGUCAAUUGUCAAAGUGUUCCAGUUGACUAAAUUUCCACCAAAAAUGUAAGCUUCUCUUUCGACUCUGAUUAUGUUGUGUUAACACAAUAAAUCGACUUAUAUUAUAUAUUUACUUCUUGCAAACAUAUGUGCUAAUAAAGUGUAAAAUGUAUUUGCACACUAAAAUGUAAACCAAUUUGAGCAACAUUAUUUGACAAUGCAAGGGGAAAAUA